rnacentral:rRNA from 1 species
GACGAACGCUGGCGGCGUGCUUAAUACAUGCAAGUAGAACGCUGAAGAGAGGAGCUUGCUCUUCUUGGAUGAGUUGCGAACGGGUGAGUAACGCGUAGGUAACCUGCCUGGUAGCGGGGGAUAACUAUUGGAAACGAUAGCUAAUACCGCAUAAAAUUGAUUAUUGCAUGAUAAUUAAUUGAAAGAUGCAAUUGCAUCACUACCAGAUGGACCUGCGUUGUAUUAGCUAGUUGGUGAGGUAACGGCUCACCAAGGCGACGAUACAUAGCCGACCUGAGAGGGUGAUCGGCCACACUGGGACUGAGACACGGCCCAGACUCCUACGGGAGGCAGCAGUAGGGAAUCUUCGGCAAUGGGGGGAACCCUGACCGAGCAACGCCGCGUGAGUGAAGAAGGUUUUCGGAUCGUAAAGCUCUGUUGUAAGAGAAGAACGGGUGUGAGAGUGGAAAGUUCACACUGUGACGGUAUCUUACCAGAAAGGCGGU